rnacentral:rRNA from 1 species
GACGAACGCUGGCGGCGUGCUUAACACAUGCAAGUCGAACGAUGAAGCUGGAGCUUGCUCUGGUGGAUUAGUGGCGAACGGGUGAGUAACACGUGAGUAACCUGCCCUGGACUCUGGGAUAACCCCGAGAAAUCGGAGCUAAUACCGGAUAGGACCUCGGAUCGCAUGAUCUGGGGUGGAAAGUUUUUCGGUCUGGGAUGGACUCGCGGCCUAUCAGCUUGUUGGUGAGGUAAUGGCUCACCAAGGCGUCGACGGGUAGCCGGCCUGAGAGGGUGACCGGACACACUGGGACUGAGACACGGCCCAGACUCCUACGGGAGGCAGCAGUGGGGAAUAUUGCACAAUGGGCGCAAGCCUGAUGCAGCAACGCCGCGUGCGGGAUGACGGCCUUCGGGUUGUAAACCGCUUUUAGUAAGGAAGAAGCCGCAAGGUGACGGUACUUGCAGAAAAAGGACCGGCUAACUACGUGCCAGCCGCCGUGGUAAAAC